ACUCUUGCUACCUUGUGAAGUCAUUUGCUUCUAGUUGUUGGAUUCUAAUUUUUGAAGACUGAAUUUCAUCCCUGGCUUUUUGGUCAUCCUCCUUCUGGUCUGAUUUUUAUUUAUUUUAUGGGGCUACUGGGAAGAAUGAGCUCUUUAGACCUUAAAGAAACCUACAAAUGUACAUUAGUUCCUUACAGAUGUAAGAAACAGAUGGUGGACUCAAGUGGCAUCCCAAGAACCAUACCUUCUCUUCUUCUGAUUGGUAGAUUAUCCAGCCAGAUGAAGCCAUCAGUCCUGUUAGACUUUGAAAGCAAGUCAUGA
rnacentral:lncRNA from 1 species